ACUCCUACGGGAGGCAGCAGUGGGGAAUUUUGGACAAUGGGCGAAAGCCUGAUCCAGCAAUGCCGCGUGUGUGAAGAAGGCCUUCGGGUUGUAAAGCACUUUUGUCCGGAAAGAAAUCCUUGGCUCUAAUACAGUCGGGGGAUGACGGUACCGGAAGAAUAAGCACCGGCUAACUACGUGCCAGCAGCCGCGGUAAUACGUAGGGUGCGAGCGUUAAUCGGAAUUACUGGGCGUAAAGCGUGCGCAGGCGGUUUGCUAAGACCGAUGUGAAAUCCCCGGGCUCAACCUGGGAACUGCAUUGGUGACUGGCAGGCUAGAGUAUGGCAGAGGGGGGUAGAAUUCCACGUGUAGCAGUGAAAUGCGUAGAGAUGUGGAGGAAUACCGAUGGCGAAGGCAGCCCCCUGGGCCAAUACUGACGCUCAUGCACGAAAGCGUGGGGAGCAAACAGGAUUAGAAACCCGAGUAGUCCC
rnacentral:rRNA from 1 species